ACAAAUUUAGAGCUUGAUAAAGUAUUUCAUUUACAUUGAGAAGAAAUUAUAAAAAUAAUUAAUUUGA
rnacentral:tRNA from 1 species